rnacentral:rRNA from 1 species
CAUGAUCUGUAGCAAUACAGAUUGAUGGCGAGUGGCGGACGGGUGAGUAACACGUAGGAAUCUGCCCUAAAGCGGGGGAUAACCCGAGGAAACUCGGGCUAAUACCGCAUACACUUUACGAAGGAAAGCUGGGGUAACCUGGCACUUUAGGAGGAGCCUGCGUCCGAUUAGCUAGUUGGUAGGGUAAAAGCCUACCAAGGCGACAAUCGGUAGCUGGUCUGAGAGGAUGAUCAGCCACAUUGGGACUGAGACACGGCCCAAACUCCUACGGGAGGCAGCAGUGGGGAAUAUUGGACAAUGGGGGCAACCCUGAUCCAGCAAUACCGCGUGUGUGAAGAAGGCCUUCGGGUUGUAAAGCACUUUAGGCGGGGAAGAAGGUUAUUAGUUUAAGAGAUGAAUAAUUUGACGGUACCCGCAGAAUAAGCACCGGCUAACUCUGUGCCAGCAGCCGCGGUAAUACAGAGGGUGCAAGCGUUAAUCGGAUUUACUGGGCGUAAAGGGCGCGUAGGUGGUUGCGUAAGUGAGAUGUGAAAUCCCCGGGCUUAACCUGGGAACUGCAUCUUAUACUGCGUAGCUGGAGUGCAGUAGAGGGUAGUGGAAUUUCCGGUGUAGCGGUGAAAUGCGUAGAUAUCGGAAGGAACACCAGUGGCGAAGGCGGCUACCUGGACUGACACUGACACUGAGGCGCGAGAGCGUGGGGAGCAAACAGGAUUAGAUACCCUGGUAGUCCACGCUGUAAACGAUGAAAACUAGAUGUUGGGCAGCUUAGACUGUUCAGUAUCGAAGCUAACGCGAUAAG